GGAUGUGAGGGCAAUCUGGCUGAGACAUCUGUCACUCCAUUGAUCACUAGGGUCCAUUCGGCUGACCUGGCUGGCCAGGUAAGUGUUUCCUUCCUCCUCGCUGUUCCACAUGCGUCCCUCCCGAAGCUGUGUGCUCCAUCCAAGAGGACAACCACCCUAGCAGAGGAAGACCAUUUCCUCAGUCAAGGGUAUAGGAGUAGCUGCACUUCCCUGCUGGAACCUCCAAAUAAGCUCUCAAAAUUAUACCUAGAAAAAACUGAGAUUUUGAACUAUAUGGUUAAUUCAAUCCCUCAUCUAACCAAUUUAAAUGAUUCAGUCAGCCAAG
rfam:Heterocephalus glaber contig54107, whole genome shotgun sequence.